CUCUUUGCACAACGAAGCAUUAGCAGAACCAAAAAUAAUAUCAUCAACAUGAAUUUGCACAACCGGAAUAUCAUUCUUAAAGGUUUUGCAAAAGAGAGUUGUCUCCAUUUUUCCUCUGGUAAAAUCAUUUUCCAAAAGGAAGUUUUUUAGUCUUUCAUACUGUAACACCCCAAAAUUUUCCCUCCUCAUUCAUGCAUUCAUUUAGCAUUUCAUAUUGCAUUUCAUCAUGUCAAUCAGAAUUAGAUCCAAAAAAAAAAAACGAAAAAAAAUAAAUUAAUUAAUUAAUUAAUUAUUUAAUUAAUUAAAUAAAUAAUUAAAUAAAUAAAAUAUAAUAAAAAAUUUUGGACUUGGGUCUCUCUCAUUUGAGCCCACAAAACCAUGAAAUUCAGUCUAUAAAUACCA
rnacentral:lncRNA from 1 species